AGUGAACGCUGGCGGUAGGCCUAACACAUGCAAGUCGAACGGCAGCACAGUAAGAGCUUGCUCUUACGGGUGGCGAGUGGCGGACGGGUGAGGAAUACAUCGGAAUCUACUUUUUUGUGGGGGAUAACGUAGGGAAACUUACGCUAAUACCGCAUACGACCUACGGGUGAAAGCAGGGGAUCUUCGGACCUUGCGCGAUUGAAUGAGCCGAUGUCGGAUUAGCUAGUUGGCGGGGUAAAGGCCCACCAAGGCGACGAUCCGUAGCUGGUCUGAGAGGAUGAUCAGCCACACUGGAACUGAGACACGGUCCAGACUCCUACGGGAGGCAGCAGUGGGGAAUAUUGGACAAUGGGCGCAAGCCUGAUCCAGCCAUACCGCGUGGGUGAAGAAGGCCUUCGGGUUGUAAAGCCCUUUUGUUGGGAAAGAAAAGCAGCAGGUUAAUACCCCGCUGUUCUGACGGUACCCAAAGUAUAAGCACCGGCUAACUUCGUG
rnacentral:rRNA from 1 species